UGGAUGCUUAGGUUUAACAAGUUUAUGGACGUUUAUCAAUGCGAAAAGUCACUUGAAGAGAAUCCUCAAUGACAAGUGAAUCUCCAAUGUGGAAAACCACAACAUAUAACAUACUACAAAGGGAACUGAAACAUCUAAGUACCUUUAGGAAAAGAAAUCAACCGAGAUUCCCCUAGUAGCGGCGAGCGAACGGGGAUUAGCCCUUAAGCUAAUUACAAGCGAGUGGAAUGUGCUGGAAAGCACAGCGAUACAAGGUGAUAGCCCUGUACACGAACGCGAAUUUUAAGUGAAAUCGAGUAGGUCGGGACACGUGUUAUCUUGACUGAAUAUGGGGGGACCAUCCUCCAAGGCUAAAUACUCCUAACUGACCGAUAGUGAACUAGUACCGUGAGGGAAAGGCGAAAAGAACCCCGGAGAGGGGAGUGAAAUAGAUCCUGAAACCGUAUGCGUACAAGCAGUAGGAGCACCCUUGCGGUGUGACUGCGUACCUUUUGUAUAAUGGGUCAGCGACUUAUGUUCAGUGGCGAGGUUAACCGUUUAGGGGAGCCGUAGGGAAACCGAGUCUGAAUAGGGCGAUUUAGUCGCUGGGCAUAGACCCGAAACCGGGCGAUCUAUCCAUGAGCAGGUUGAAGGUUGAGUAACAUCAACUGGAGGACCGAACCGACUAACGUUGAAAAGUUAGCGGAUGACUUGUGGCUGGGGGUGAAAGGCCAAUCAAACCGGGAGAUAGCUGGUUCUCCCCGAAAGCUAUUUAGGUAGCGCCUCGGACGAAUACCACAGGGGGUAGAGCACUGUUUCGGCUAGGGGGUCAUCCCGACUUACCAACCCGACGCAAACUCCGAAUACCUGGAAGUGCAAUCAUGGCAGACAGACGGCGGGUGCUAACGUCCGUCGUCGAGAGGGAAACAACCCAGACCGCCAGCUAAGGUCCCAAAAUCACAGUUAAGUGGGAAACGAUGUGGGAAGGCUAAGACAGCUAGGAGGUUGGCUUAGAAGCAGCCACCCUUUAAAGAAAGCGUAAUAGCUCACUAGUCGAGUCGGCCUGCGCGGAAGAUGUAACGGGGCUAAGCAAUAUACCGAAGCUGCGGACGCAUAGUUUACUAUGCGUGGUAGGGGAGCGUUGUGUAAGUGGCUGAAGGUGAACUGAGAGGUUUGCUGGACAUAUCACAAGUGCGAAUGCUGACAUGAGUAACGAUAAUGCGGGUGAAAAACCCGCACGCCGGAAGACCAAGGUUUCCUGUCCCAUGCUAAUCAGGGCAGGGUAAGUCGGCCCCUAAGGCGAGGCAGAAAUGCGUAGUCGAUGGGAAACGGAUUAAUAUUUCCGUACUUGGUAUAUCAGUGAUGGGGGGACGGAGAAGGUUAUGCAAGCAUAGCGUUGGUUGUCUAUGUGAAAGUGUGUAGGGUUGAAGUUUAGGUAAAUCCGGACUUCUACAUGCCUGAGACACGAGACGAGAUUCUACGGAAUUGAAGUUGCAAAUACCCUGCUUCCAGGAAAAGCCUCUAAACUUAUGAUAUAUCGAACCGUACCCCAAACCGACACAGGUGGUCAGGUAGAGAAUACUAAGGCGCUUGAGAGAACUCGGGUGAAGGAACUCGGCAAAAUCGUACCGUAACUUCGGGAGAAGGUACGCCGCUGUUUGUGAUGAGACUUGCUCUCUAAGCGAAUGGCGGCCGCAGUGAAAAGGUGGCUGGGACUGUUUAUUAAAAACACAGCACUGUGCUAAAUCGAAAGAUGACGUAUACGGUGUGACACCUGCCCGGUGCCGGAAGGUUAAUUGAUGGGGUUAGCGCAAGCGAAGCUCUUGAUCGAAGCCCCGGUAAACGGCGGCCGUAACAAUAACGGUCCUAAGGUAGCGAAAUUCCUUGUCGGGUAAGUUCCGACCUGCACGAAUGGUGUAACCAUGGCCACGCUGUCUCCACCCGAGACUCAGUGAAAUUGAAAUCGCAGUGAAGAUGCUGUGUACCCGCACCUAGACGGAAAGACCCCGUGAACCUUUACUAUAGCUUGGCACUGAACAUUGACCCUACAUGUGUAGGAUAGGUGGGAGACUUUGAAGCGUGAACGCCAGUUUGCGUGGAGUCAACCUUGAAAUACCACCCUUGUACGUUUGAUGUUCUAACGUUGUUCCCUAAUCGGGAAUGCGGACAGUGCCUGGUGGGUAGUUUGACUGGGGCGGUCUCCUCCCAAAGAGUAACGGAGGAGCACGAAGGUUGGCUAAUCCUGGUCGGACAUCAGGAGGUUAGUGCAAUGGCAUAAGCCAGCUUAACUGCGAGACAGACACGUCGAGCAGGUACGAAAGUAGGUCAUAGUGAUCCGGUGGUUC
rnacentral:rRNA from 1 species